AGUUCGAUCAUGGCUCAGAUUGAACGCUGGCGGGAUGCUACACAUGCAGUCGAACGGCAGCACGGACGGUCUGGUGGCGAGUGGCGAACGGGUGAGUAAUGUAUCGGAACGUGCCCUAGUAGCGGGGGAUAACUACGCGAAAGCGUAGCUAAUACCAUACGCCCUUCGGGGGAAAGCGGGGGACCUUCGGGCCUCGCACUAUUAGAGCGGCCGAUAUCAGUUAGCUAGUUGGUGGGGUAACGGCUCACCAAGGCGACGAUCCGUAGCUGGUUUGAGAGGACGACCAGCUACACUGGGACUGAGACACGUGAACUCCUACGGGAGAGCAGCAGUGGGAAUUUUGGACAAUGGGGGAAACCCUGAUCCAGCCAUCCCGCGUGUGCGAUGAAGGCCUUCGGGUUGUAAAGCACUUUUGGCAGGAAAGAAACGGCACGGGAUAAUACCCCGUGCAACUGACGGCUUACCUGCACAGAAUAAGCACCGGCUAACUACGUGCCAGCAGCCGCGGUAAUACGUAGGGUGCAAGCGUUAAUCAGAUUACUGGGCGUAAAGCGUGCGCAGGCGGUUCGGAAAGAAAGAUGUGAAAUCCCAGAGCUUAACUUUGGAACUGCAUUUUUAACUACCGAGCUAGAGUGUGUCAGAGGAGGUGGAGAUUCCGCGUGUAGCAGUGAAAUGCGUAGAUAUGCGGAGGAACACACCGAUGGCGAAAACAGCCUCCUGGGAUAACACUGACGCUCAUGCACGAAAAGCGUGGGAGCAAACAGGAUUGGAACGAUACCCUGGUAGUCACGCCCUAAACGAUGUCAACUAGCUGUUGGGGCCUUCGGGCCUUGGUAGCGCAACUAACGCGUGAAGUUGACCGCCUGGGAAGCCUGAUCGCAGAUUAGAAACUCAAAGGAAUUGACGGGGCCCGCACAAGCGGUGGAUGAUGUGGAUUAAUUCGAUGCAACGCGAAAACCUUACCUACCCUUGACAUGUCUGGAAUCCCGAAGAGAUUUGGGAGUGCUCGCAAGAGAACCGGAACACAGGUGCUGCAUGGCUGUCGUCAGCUCGUGUCAUUGAAGAUGUUGGGUUAAGUCCCGCAACGAGCGCAACGCGUCAUUAGUUGCUACGAAGAGCACUCUAAUGAGACUGCCGGUGACAAACCGGAGGAAGGUGAGGAUGACGUCAAGUCCUCAUGGCCCUUAUGGUGAGGGCUUCACACGUCAUACAAUGGUCGGGACAGAGGGUCGCCAACCCGCGAGGAGCCAUCCCAGAAACCCGAUCGUAGUCCGGAUCGCAGUCUGCAACUCGACUGCGUGAUCGGAAUCGCUAGUAAUCGCGGAUCAGCAUGUCGCGGUGAAUACGUUCCCGGGUCUUGUACACACCGCCCGUCACACCAUGGGAGUGGGUUUUACCAAGUAGUUAGCCUAACCGUAAGGAGGGCGAUUACCACGGUAGGAUUCAUGACUGGGGUGGAAAGUCGCUAAAGGUGG
rnacentral:rRNA from 1 species